rnacentral:lncRNA from 1 species
AUUGGUUAAUAUAGGUGUGUACAAAUUGGGUAUAUGUAAUGUAAUGGCUAGAAUCCAACUAUUGGAUGUUUCAGUUUCAAAAAUAAAAAAGAAUUCUAGAAUCUGAUUUAAUUUAAGAUACGAAUAAUUGGUAUACAUUAUGAAAGAAACCCAUGUAUAUGUGAUAUUAGAUAUUGCUACUUAUAUAUGAACUAAAAAUAGAUAUGAUCUAAUCUGCUCUAUA